AGGAUGAACGCCUAGCGGCAGGCCUAACACAUGCAAGUCGAGCGGUGCAGUUUGAAGCUUCGGUGGAAAGCUGCAUAGCGGCGGACGGGUGAGGAAAACGUAGGAACGUGCCCCUUGGAGUUGGAUAGCCACGGGAAACUGUGGGUGAACCGACAUAGACUCGAGAGAGUAAAGGCCGAAAGGCGCCAAGGGAGCGGCCUGCGGCCCAUCAGGUAGUUGGUAGUGUAAAGGACUACCAAGCCGACGACGGGUAGCCGGUCUGAGAGGAUGGCCGGCCACAAGGGCACUGAGAGACGGGCCCUACUCCUACGGGAGGCAGCAGUGGGGGAUUUUGGACAAUGGGCGAAAGCCUGAUCCAGCGACGCCGCGUGGAGGACGAAGCCCUUCGGGGUGUAAACUCCUUUUCUCAGGGAAAAAGGAUGAUGGUACCUGAGGAAUAAGCCCCGGCUAACUACGUG
rnacentral:rRNA from 1 species